CAUCAAUCUAUUAAAAUAAAUUUUAGAGUAAUGCGGUCAUACUAACCAGUAGACAGUUUAUGGUAAAUUUAAGUAAAUAUAUUAGGUACAAUUGUGAAAGGAUCAAUAAUGGCACUCUUUAAAUUGAGUUAAACAAACAACGAGCUCGUGAUCUGACCAUGUUAUUCAAUAUAAUUUGAUCACCAUUAAGAAGGCCCAUCAUUGCAUUACCUUCAGGUUCUGAAUCUGUAUAACUGAUGGAUACACAAAUAUCUUCUUGAUCUUUCUAUUUAGAGCAGUUGUUCCCAACCAGGACAACGUAGACUCAUGUAGAGGUGACAUGCAUCAUGUAUACUUCAAUCUUAGGGCGACACCAGUGUCGGAUUAUCGUGACUAAAGGUGACAUGAGUAAGAAAAAGGUUGAGAAGCACCGAGGAUUGAACACAAAAAUUAACCGUUAUUAAGGACAUAUACACCAUACACACGUGUAACGUCGCAAAAAUCAAUUUUCGAGGAAAAUUCGAUACUUACCGAGGAUAGGUAUCCAAGGACUGAUGACACUUGCAAAUACAAUGUCGUGUACGAGUACACCGCGGGCAGCAGCAACCUCACGCCGGUUUUGCGGGACCGCUUUGGGGUUACCCGACCGGGGGAGGGGCCGGGCUUCGUUCGUUGACGGGCCACGGACGAUUACGCGCAAGUGUCGCACCGGCAAAACGUCGGGCGACGUAAACGCAUCGGAAGAUACGGAAAUAUAAUCGCCGCUGCCGGUUGCUCAUGUAUAUAAAAUCGUGACGGCAAAAAUAACACGGCCGGGAGGCACGAGUACCUCGUGGCACGUUAUAUAUAGUACUCACUUAGUUCGGUGCGCCAGCGACAAAAGACGAAAUUAUCACCGGAACACCGUCCAGAAAGUCGUGAUCGGCACACAAAGUGAUUUCGUAUUGCUGAAACCGAACAGUCGUAGAGUGAAAAUUACGGCAGAUCCGGAGGCGCGCGAACGUUAAUGUCGAGCUGAGAGUUCCGCCGCAGCGCCGUACCCGAGCGAACGAAAUGAAUAACAAUGGCGAACGUGUUUUACGUUGGGAAGUCACCGCGGAGAGCGUAGACGUCCGCCAAUCGCCGCCGCCGAAGAC